rnacentral:rRNA from 1 species
CGAAGGUGGCAAGCGUUGUUCGGAUUCACUGGGCGUACAGGGAGCGUAGGCGGUUGGGUAAGCCCUCCGUGAAAUCUCCGGGCCUAACCCGGAAAGUGCAGAGGGGACUGCUCGGCUUGAGGACGGGAGAGGAGCGCGGAAUUCCCGGUGUAGCGGUGAAAUGCGUAGAGGUCGGGAGGAAGGCCGGUGGCGAAGGCGGCGCUCUGGAACGUUUCUGACGCUGAGGCUCGAAAGCGUGGGGAGCAAACAGGAUUAGAUACCCUGGUAGUCCACGCCUUAAACUAUGGAUACUAAGUGUCGGCGGGUUACCGCCGGUGCCGCAGCUAACGCAGUAAGUAUCCCGCCUGGGAAGUACGGCCGCAAGGUUG